rnacentral:rRNA from 1 species
UACGUAGGCAGCGAGCGUUGUUCGGGGUUACUGGGCGUAAAGGGUGUGUAGGCGGUUGCUUAAGUUUGGUGUGAAAUCUCCCGGCUCAACCGGGAGGGUGCGCCGAAUACUGAGUGACUAGGGUGCGGGAGAGGAAAGUGGAAUUCCUGGUGUAGCGGUGAAAUGCGUAGAUAUCAGGAGGAACACCGGUGGUGUAGACGGCUUUCUGGACCGUAACUGACGCUGAGACACGAAAGCGUGGGUAGCAAACAGG